rnacentral:lncRNA from 1 species
GGGUGGGUGAGUGUUUGUUACUAGGACUGUGUCCUUAAGGAGGAGCCUCUGGUUUGUGAAUGUAGGUUUCUACUAGGUGGUGUCCUAGUGCUUAUUUCUUAUUUCGAAUUGCUCGUACUUCUCUGAUAAUUAUCUCUAUUAUGUCUUAUUUUUGUAUGCCAUCUUUUCCUGUUAUAUGUUUCUUUACGAGCUUGGUGUACUAUUCUUCGUCUUGAGCCGGCGGUCUAUCGGAAACAACCUCUCU